GAUGAACGCUAGCGGCAGGCUUAAUACAUGCAAGUCGAGGGCAGCAGGGUGUAGCAAUACACUGCUGGCGACCGGCAACGGGUGCGGAACACGUACGCAACCUUCCUUCAAGUGGGGAAUAGCCCAGGGAAACUUGGAUUAAUACCUCGUAACAUUGUGAGAUGGCAUCAUUUUUACAAUUAUAGUUCCGACGCUUGAAGACGGGC
rnacentral:rRNA from 1 species